CUAUACAACCAUCCCACCCUGGCUGUGUCUAAGCUCAUCUAAUCUCAGAAGUUAAGCAGGAUCAGUCUUGGAUUGGUACUUCAAUAAGAGAGAACAAACUCCACGAAUCAAACUGGGGUUGUACCUG
rnacentral:rRNA from 1 species